rnacentral:rRNA from 1 species
GAAACUCGGACCAAGGAGUCUAGCAUGUACGCGAGUCAUUGGGACACGACUAAACCUAAAGGCGUAAUGAAAGUGAAGGUCCGCCUCGCGCGGAUCGAGGGAGGAUGGGCGGUCCGCUUGUGGCCGCUCCGCACUCCCGGGGCGUCUCGUUCUCAUCGCGAGAAGAGGCGCACCAAGAGCGUACACGCUGGGACCCGAAAGAUGGUGAACUAUGCCUGGUCAGGACGAAGUCAGGGGAAACCCUGAUGGAGGUCCGUAGCGAUUCUGACGUGCAAAUCGAUCGUCGGAACUGGGUAUAGGGGCGAAAGACUAAUCGAACCAUCUAGUAGCUGGUUCCCUCCGAAGUUUCCCUCAGGAUAGCUGGCGCUCGUCGCGUACGAGUCUCAUCCGGUAAAGCGAAUGAUUAGAGGCAUUGGGGUCGAAACGGCCUCAACCUAUUCUCAAACUUUAAAUGGGUGAGAUCUCCGGCUUGCUCGAACUACUGAAGCCGCGAGACACGGAUCAGAGUGCCAAGUGGGCCAUUUUUGGUAAGCAGAACUGGCGCUGUGGGAUGAACCAAACGCCGAGUUAAAGCGCCCAAGUCGACGCUUAUGGGAUACCAUGAAAGGCGUUGGUAACUUAAGACAGCAGGACGGUGGCCAUGGAAGUCGGAAUCCG